UACAGAGGUCCCAAGCGUUGUUCGGAUUCAUUGGGCGUAAAGGGUGCGUAGGCGGCGCGGUAAGUCGGGUGUGAAAGCCCCCGGCUCAACUGGGGAGGGUCACGCGAUACUGAUCGACUCGAAGGCAGGAGAGGGAAGUGGAAUUCCCGGUGUAGUGGUGAAAUGCGUAGAUAUCGGGAGGAACACCAGUGGCGAAGGCGACUUCCUGGCCUGUUCUUGACGCUGAGGCGCGAAAGCUAGGGGAGCAAACGGGG
rnacentral:rRNA from 1 species